GAGCUUGCUCCUUUGAAGUUAGCGGCGGACGGGUGAGUAACACGUGGGUAACCUACCUAUAAGACUGGAAUAACUUCGGGAAACCGGAGCUAAUGCCGGAUAACAUAUAGAACCGCAUGGUUCUAUAGUGAAAGAUGGUUUUGCUAUCACUUAUAGAUGGACCCGCGCCGUAUUAGCUAGUUGGUAAGGUAAUGGCUUACCAAGGCGACGAUACGUAGCCGACCUGAGAGGGUGAUCGGCCACACUGGAACUGAGACACGGUCCAGACUCCUACGGGAGGCAGCAGUAGGGAAUCUUCCGCAAUGGGCGAAAGCCUGACGGAGCAACGCCGCGUGAGUGAUGAAGGUUUUCGGAUCGUAAAACUCUGUUAUUAGGGAAGAACAAAUGCGUAAGUAACUGUGCGCAUCUUGACGGUACCUAAUCAGAAAGCCACGGCUAACUACGUGCCAGCAGCCGCGGUAAUACGUAGGUGGCAAGCGUUAUCCGGAAUUAUUGGGCGUAAAGCGCGCGUAGGCGGUUUCUUAAGUCUGAUGUGAAAGCCCACGGCUCAACCGUGGAGGGUCAUUGGAAACUGGGAAACUUGAGUGCAGAAGAGGAAAGUGGAAUUCCAUGUGUAGCGGUGAAAUGCGCAGAGAUAUGGAGGAACACCAGUGGCGAAGGCGACUUUCUGGUCUGUAACUGACGCUGAUGUGCGAAAGCGUGGGGAUCAAACAGGAUUAGAUACCCUGGUAGUCCACGCCGUAAACGAUGAGUGCUAAGUGUUAGGGGGUUUCCGCCCCUUAGUGCUGCAGCUAACGCAUUAAGCACUCCGCCUGGGGAGUACGACCGCAAGGUUGAAACUCAAAGGAAUUGACGGGGACCCGCACAAGCGGGUGGAGCAUGUGGUUUAAUUCGAAGCAACGCGAAGAACCUUACCAAAUCUUGACAUCCUUUGAAAACUCUAGAGAUAGAGCCUUCCCCUUCGGGGACAAAGUGGACAGGGUGGUGCAUGGUUGUCGUCAGCUCGGUGUCGGUGAGAU
rnacentral:rRNA from 1 species